CUUGAAUUAAAAUGCGUGAACUGAGCUACCAUCACUUCAUCCUGUAAAUCCUUUCAUAAUAGGGUCAACCUAGUUCUGAGCUUAUCCGGGUGAUAGUUCAGAUUCAGACUCUGAGUAAGCUGCCUCCUUUGUUAUUGAACAAAUGGAUAUACGAUCAGACUGAAGCAUUUCUCAGUGGAUUGCUUAUGAGGCCUUAUUACCUUGCAGUACUGCUUCAGAAAAAAACAUGGUUGUAAAUUAAGGACACAGUGAAAAACGCCAUUCUCUUAUCUAGAUGGUGUCUCAGCUGGACUCCGCUGACUUAGUAAGCCAACAUCACGUCAGAUGAAAAGAUGAUUUUUUGACCAAGUUGUUGUCGUGCAAAGGUUCAAAGUCAGAAACCUUGUGAUUGCUGCAGAGGAAUCUUCCACCAGGAGUACAAAAUGCUUAGCAAAAUAAUUCUAAUGAUUGCUGAGAAUUAUUCAAGCCUCUCAGUCAUUAAUAUACUUUUAUAGGGGUACUUAAAAUGAAUAAAACUUCCAGCAAAGAGAAAUUCAUACAUGUAUUAACUUUAAAGCAAAUAAUCUAAAAUUAAUCUCUAUUAAUUGUGGAAUAUUUAAUUUUUCAGAAACCUCCAGUAUUUUGUAAAUAUGAUUCUAUUGGACAAACCCUAGGAAAUAUUGUUAUGCAGCUGAAUUCUGGGCUUUGUUUUCUGUUAAAUGGCAACAGAAUAUAACAGCCGGAAACUCAUUUCCUGGGAUUACAAAUGAACUCUCUGAAUCCUUGUUCUAGUUGCUGUCUUCGUGGUUAUGGACUUUGAGCUGAUGGAGGGCUGGGAUACCACGUCUAAUUGUUAUGGAUGUCCCUACACCAUUUCAGCAUUGCUGUAAAUCGCGGUCCCAGACUGGCCUGUUGAUCCCAGUAUGAGCGCAAGAGACACAUGAAGCGGAGCCAAGUUGAUCCAGCCAAGACCAGCCUGGAUUAGUUUACUCCCAGAUUACAUUCAGACACGUGAGUGAACCCAGUAUGGAUAAACUGAACCUCACAGACACGUAACAGAUGUCUACUGUUGUAUAAUCAUUAUUUUCCUAAACAUCUGAUGCAAUCACCAACCAGAUUAAAAACCUUUUGAGGACAGGGCCUUGUUUUAUUUAUUUUACCUAGAACUCAGUAGGCAAUGUGCAUUGCCUCAGUAUUUAAUGGUAUUGGAUGGCUUCAUGAAUAAAGAUCAAUU
rnacentral:lncRNA from 1 species